rnacentral:rRNA from 1 species
GGUUAAGCGACUAAGCGUACACGGUGGAUGCCCUGGCAGUCAGAGGCGAUGAAGGACGUGCUAAUCUGCGAUAAGCGUCGGUAAGGUGAUAUGAACCGUUAUAACCGGCGAUUUCCGAAUGGGGAAACCCAGUGUGUUUCGACACACUAUCAUUAACUGAAUCCAUAGGUUAAUGAGGCGAACCGGGGGAACUGAAACAUCUAAGUACCCCGAGGAAAAGAAAUCAACCGAGAUUCCCCCAGUAGCGGCGAGCGAACGGGGAGCAGCCCAGAGCCUGAAUCAGUGUGUGUGUUAGUGGAAGCGUCUGGAAAGGCGCGCGAUACAGGGUGACAGCCCCGUACACAAAAAUGCACAUGCUGUGAGCUCGAUGAGUAGGGCGGGACACGUGGUAUCCUGUCUGAAUAUGGGGGGACCAUCCUCCAAGGCUAAAUACUCCUGACUGACCGAUAGUGAACCAGUACCGUGAGGGAAAGGCGAAAAGAACCCCGGCGAGGGGAGUGAAAAAGAACCUGAAACCGUGUACGUACAAGCAGUGGGAGCACGCUUAGGCGUGUGACUGCGUACCUUUUGUAUAAUGGGUCAGCGACUUAUAUUCUGUAGCAAGGUUAACCGAAUAGGGGAGCCGAAGGGAAACCGAGUCUUAACUGGGCGUUAAGUUGCAGGGUAUAGACCCGAAACCCGGUGAUCUAGCCAUGGGCAGGUUGAAGGUUGGGUAACACUAACUGGAGGACCGAACCGACUAAUGUUGAAAAAUUAGCGGAUGACUUGUGGCUGGGGGUGAAAGGCCAAUCAAACCGGGAGAUAGCUGGUUCUCCCCGAAAGCUAUUUAGGUAGCGCCUCGUGAAUUCAUCUCCGGGGGUAGAGCACUGUUUCGGCAAGGGGGUCAUCCCGACUUACCAACCCGAUGCAAACUGCGAAUACCGGAGAAUGUUAUCACGGGAGACACACGGCGGGUGCUAACGUCCGUCGUGAAGAGGGAAACAACCCAGACCGCCAGCUAAGGUCCCAAAGUCAUGGUUAAGUGGGAAACGAUGUGGGAAGGCCCAGACAGCCAGGAUGUUGGCUUAGAAGCAGCCAUCAUUUAAAGAAAGCGUAAUAGCUCACUGGUCGAGUCGGCCUGCGCGGAAGAUGUAACGGGGCUAAACCAUGCACCGAAGCUGCGGCAGCGACACUAUGUGUUGUUGGGUAGGGGAGCGUUCUGUAAGCCUGUGAAGGUGUGCUGUGAGGCAUGCUGGAGGUAUCAGAAGUGCGAAUGCUGACAUAAGUAACGAUAAAGCGGGUGAAAAGCCCGCUCGCCGGAAGACCAAGGGUUCCUGUCCAACGUUAAUCGGGGCAGGGUGAGUCGACCCCUAAGGCGAGGCCGAAAGGCGUAGUCGAUGGGAAACAGGUUAAUAUUCCUGUACUUGGUGUUACUGCGAAGGGGGGACGGAGAAGGCUAUGUUGGCCGGGCGACGGUUGUCCCGGUUUAAGCGUGUAGGCUGGUUUUCCAGGCAAAUCCGGAAAAUCAAGGCUGAGGCGUGAUGACGAGGCACUACGGUGCUGAAGCAACAAAUGCCCUGCUUCCAGGAAAAGCCUCUAAGCAUCAGGUAACAUCAAAUCGUACCCCAAACCGACACAGGUGGUCAGGUAGAGAAUACCAAGGCGCUUGAGAGAACUCGGGUGAAGGAACUAGGCAAAAUGGUGCCGUAACUUCGGGAGAAGGCACGCUGAUAUGUAGGUGAAGUCCCUCGCGGAUGGAGCUGAAAUCAGUCGAAGAUACCAGCUGGCUGCAACUGUUUAUUAAAAACACAGCACUGUGCAAACACGAAAGUGGACGUAUACGGUGUGACGCCUGCCCGGUGCCGGAAGGUUAAUUGAUGGGGUUAGCCGCAAGGCGAAGCUCUUGAUCGAAGCCCCGGUAAACGGCGGCCGUAACUAUAACGGUCCUAAGGUAGCGAAAUUCCUUGUCGGGUAAGUUCCGACCUGCACGAAUGGCGUAAUGAUGGCCAGGCUGUCUCCACCCGAGACUCAGUGAAAUUGAACUCGCUGUGAAGAUGCAGUGUACCCGCGGCAAGACGGAAAGACCCCGUGAACCUUUACUAUAGCUUGACACUGAACAUUGAGCCUUGAUGUGUAGGAUAGGUGGGAGGCUUAGAAGUGUGGACGCCAGUCUGCAUGGAGCCGACCUUGAAAUACCACCCUUUAAUGUUUGAUGUUCUAACGUUGACCCGUAAUCCGGGUUGCGGACAGUGUCUGGUGGGUAGUUUGACUGGGGCGGUCUCCUCCUAAAGAGUAACGGAGGAGCACGAAGGUUGGCUAAUCCUGGUCGGACAUCAGGAGGUUAGUGCAAUGGCAUAAGCCAGCUUGACUGCGAGCGUGACGGCGCGAGCAGGUGCGAAAGCAGGUCAUAGUGAUCCGGUGGUUCUGAAUGGAAGGGCCAUCGCUCAACGGAUAAAAGGUACUCCGGGGAUAACAGGCUGAUACCGCCCAAGAGUUCAUAUCGACGGCGGUGUUUGGCACCUCGAUGUCGGCUCAUCACAUCCUGGGGCUGAAGUAGGUCCCAAGGGUAUGGCUGUUCGCCAUUUAAAGUGGUACGCGAGCUGGGUUUAGAACGUCGUGAGACAGUUCGGUCCCUAUCUGCCGUGGGCGCUGGAGAACUGAGGGGGGCUGCUCCUAGUACGAGAGGACCGGAGUGGACGCAUCACUGGUGUUCGGGUUGUCAUGCCAAUGGCACUGCCCGGUAGCUAAAUGCGGAAGAGAUAAGUGCUGAAAGCAUCUAAGCACGAAACUUGCCCCGAGAUGAGUUCUCCCUGACUCCUUGAGAGUCCUGAAGGAACGUUGAAGACGACGACGUUGAUAGGCCGGGUGUGUAAGCGCAGCGAUGCGUUGAGCUAACCGGUACUAAUGAACCGUGAGGCUUAACCUU